rnacentral:sRNA from 1 species
CAGAAGCAUCAGAGUAGCCUGGGGACCCCAUUCGCAGCUACUGCCUGACGUUAAGGUCCCUCUAAAUAGAAAACUUAAAAUCUGGAUCAUUAAGACAGGAGUGGGAAAGACAGCUCCAUCGAGAGUCUGCUAUGAAGACAUGGGGACCUGUGUAUAGAUUUGCAGCACCUGCAGGAAUCCAGAUCCAGCAGCUGCAUCUGUAAAUAAAGUGCAGGGAUUCAUACAUCGUGUUGUUGGUCUUAUUCUGAUAUUACUAGAUUACUAAUCUUACAAGUUCUUGGCAAUGUCAUUCCACCACGGGAAAAGGAUUUCAUGAGACUCUAUGCCUAGUUGUUGCUGUGAUUCUAGUGCCUAUGUCUUUCCUGGAUAUGGGUAAAAGGAUUUCAAAAGGGAAGAAAAAAGAAGGAACCAAAAGAGAAUAUUUAAAUGAGCAGAGAAGGGGUGUGUCGUCCCCAUAAGUGUUAACCGAACAAGGAGAAAAACUCUUUCCCAUUUGUACAUAUAAGUACAUUGUAUCGAUCAAAAGAUAUAUCACACAUUACAAAGCUAAUGGACAGAAAUGGAGGAACUAUACUCAGAAUGGAGAUAGAACGUAAAAAUAGCAUUACCUAAGCCGUCCCAAUCAGAAAAGAAAAUUGUAUAUAAGGCCACAUUGCUUUCUCCUGAACAUGUGGGAGAGAUGAUCACAUCAUCUAGGUUUGAUGAGCAACUGGCAGUAGCUGAAUCCUUCACUGAUGGCGCACUCCUUACUCGUGAGCAAGAAGCCCAUCACCAACAGUAACAGAGGACACAGCAGCAAUAUGGCGUCUUGCAACCCUUUGUGCUUACACAGCAUCCUUUGUUAGGACUUUCUCUGUGAAUCUGAGUUAACUAAGGGGGAAAAAGCAAUCUAGAUGGUGAAGGUAAUGUCAGAGACUCGAGUUUAUGAACACAGCAAUGUUAAUUCUGUAGCUAAUUUGUAUGAAGGAGAAUGCAUGGAUAACGGGAAAGAAAAUAGCUUGAUGCAGAAAGACGGCUCAGUAUCUAAGAGCGAUUGCUAUUCUUCCAGAGGAUCCAGGCUUUGAUCCUAGAACUCAAGUAAUAGUUUGUGACCGUCUGUAACUCCGGUUCCAGGGAAUCUAACACCUUCUUCUGGCCUCUAUGGGCCCCAGGCACGCACAGACAGAUGCAUCCAGGCAAAACAUCCAAGCACAUAAGACAAUUUUUUUCAAAAAGAUGAGAGACCUCGGAGGGGUCAUGUUUCCUUGUGUCUCAGAUCCCAUACAACACUCGGGUCUAAUGGCGGAGAGCUGAGACUUGUAAGCUUGGUCUGACUUUCAAGACGGCUCUCCUGAGAAGCUGACUGUCUAGGUGAUGAAUGCUGCAUAUUGCAAUAAAAUAAAAGCAUUUGGGAUUAAAAGCAAUGAAUGCACCAUCGAUUUCGUCGGUUUGGCUGUUGCCUUGGUGGAAGAAUAGGACAGAGGUGCUCUCCCUCACCUUCAUCCAGACAUAGGUGUUACCUGCACCUGUCCACUAGCUCAUCCUUCACAGGCUGCAAUUAAUUCAUGUUAUACAACUACCCUUAGUAAGCUGGAGUUACAGGAAAGAGAAUGCUACAUCGCUUCUUACAAACUAGUAUUUGGGGU